rnacentral:rRNA from 1 species
UACGUAGGGUGCGAGCGUUAAUCGGAUUUACUGGGCGUAAAGCGUGCGCAGGCGGCCCGUUAAGACAGGUGUGAAAGCCCUGGGCUCAACCUAGGAAUUGCGCUGGAGACUGGCGGGCUGGAGUACGGUAGAGGGGGGUGGAAUUCCUGGUGUAGCAGUGAAAUGCGUAGAGAUCAGGAGGAACACCGAUGGCGAAGGCAGCCCCCUGGGCCUGUACUGACGCUCAGGCACGAAAGCGUGGGGAGCAAACAGG